ACAAAAUAUCUCCGACAAAAUAUCCCAAAAAAAAUAUAUAUCCCCGAGACUAAAUAUUACACAAAAUCUAUGAUAAAAAGGGUACAAUACGGUAACAAGCUUAUGUGUUAGUCUACUCUC